rnacentral:tRNA from 1 species
AGGGAUAUAGCUCAGUGGUAGAGUGUAUGCUUAGCAUGCGUGAGAUUGUGGGUUCAAUGCCCAGUACCUCCA